GGAGCGGGCUCUAUUGGACAGUGUCCGUUGGACAGGUACUUCGUCACAGUGUGCCUCCUCAAGCACAGGCAGGGCUACUAAAGGAUGGUCUUAAUGCAAUCUCAGCCUGAGAGCUAAAAAGGAGGUUCUUCAGCCGACAGUGCCCCCCACCCAGCAUGUGGGCAGGCCGCUCACAGUCCCCCACCUCCUCCCUCCCUCCCAUCAGUGAGCUCGAGGACUACAUGAGCGACCGGGUCCAGUUUGUCAUCACGGCCCAGGAGUGGGAUCCCAACUUUGAGGAGGUGAGCCCUGGAGGGGCAGAGGUGGAGAACCCCAACGAACUUCGGCAUUCCCUCUGUCCUCUGAUUACAUUCCCAAGUGGACCCCUCUCCCCUAGGCCCUGAUGGAAAAUCCUUCCCUGGCCUUCGUCCGGCCCCGCUGGAUCUACAGUUGUAAUGAGAAGCAGAAGUUACUCCCCCACCAGCUCUAUGGGGUGGUGCCCCAGGCCUGAAUGUACACCUGUGUAUGCGCAUGCAUACACUUAUGCACAUGUAUGCACAGGCCUGGGUGCACACGUGUGCACACAGAUGAGUUUAAUAAAGGAGACUUUGUUUGAAGC
rnacentral:lncRNA from 1 species